AGAAGACAUUGUGUCUUCGAGUCGUUGAUUUCACACUGCCGAGAAAAGCCUCUAGAUAGAAAAUAGGUGCCCGUACCGCAAACCGACACAGGUAGUCAAGAUGAGAAUUCUAAGGUGAGCGAGCGAACUCUCGUUAAGGAACUCGGCAAAAUGACCCCGUAACUUCGGGAGAAGGGGUGCUCUUUAGGGUUAACGCCCAGAAGAGCCGCAGUGAAUAGGCCCAAGCGACUGUUUAUCAAAAACACAGGUCUCUGCUAAACCGUAAGGUGAUGUAUAGGGGCUGACGCCUGCCCGGUGCUGGAAGGUUAAGAGGAGUGGUUAGCUUCUGCGAAGCUACGAAUCGAAGCCCCAGUAAACGGCGGCCGUAACUAUAACGGUCCUAAGGUAGCGAAAUUCCUUGUCGGGUAAGUUCCGACCCGCACGAAAGGCGUAACGAUUUGGGCACUGUCUCAACGAGAGACUCGGUGAAAUCAUAGUACCUGUGAAGAUGCAGGUUACCCGCGACAGGACGGAAAGACCCCGUGGAGCUUUACUGUAGCCUGAUAUUGAAAUUCGGCACAGCUUGUACAGGAUAGGUAGGAGCCUUUGAAACGUGAGCGCUAGCUUACGUGGAGGCGCUGGUGGGAUACUACCCUAGCUGUGUUGGCUUUCUAACCCGCACCACUUAUCGUGGUGGGAGACAGUGUCAGGCGGGCAGUUUGACUGGGGCGGUCGCCUCCUAAAAGGUAACGGAGGCGCUCAAAGGUUCCCUCAGAAUGGUUGGAAAUCAUUCAUAGAGUGUAAAGGCAUAAGGGAGCUUGACUGCGAGACCUACAAGUCGAGCAGGGUCGAAAGACGGACUUAGUGAUCCGGUGGUUCCGCAUGGAAGGGCCAUCGCUCAACGGAUAAAAGCUACCCCGGGGAUAACAGGCUUAUCUCCCCCAAGAGUUCACAUCGACGGGGAGGUUUGGCACCUCGAUGUCGGCUCAUCGCAUCCUGGGGCUGUAGUCGGUCCCAAGGGUUGGGCUGUUCGCCCAUUAAAGCGGUACGCGAGCUGGGUUCAGAACGUCGUGAGACAGUUCGGUCCCUAUCCGUCGUGGGCGUAGGAAAUUUGAGAGGAGCUGUCCUUAGUACGAGAGGACCGGGAUGGACAUACCUCUGGUGUACCAGUUGUCGUGCCAACGGCAUAGCUGGGUAGCUAUGUGUGGACGGGAUAAGUGCUGAAAGCAUCUAAGCAUGAAGCCCCCCUCAAGAUGAGAUUUCCCAACUUCGGUUAUAAGAUCCCUCAAAGAUGAUGAGGUUAAUAGGUUCGAGGUGGAAGCAUGGUGACAUGUGGAGCUGACGAAUACUAA
rnacentral:rRNA from 1 species